rnacentral:rRNA from 1 species
GCCAGACUCCUACGGGAGGCAGCAGUGAGGAAUAUUGGUCAAUGGCCGUAAGGCUGAACCAGCCAAGUAGCGUGAGGGAAGACUGCCCUAUGGGUUGUAAACCUCUUUUAUGCGGGGAUAAAGGUGUCCACGUGUGGAUGUUUGCAGGUACCGCAUGAAUAAGGACCGGCUAAUUCCGUGCCAGCAGCCGCGGUAAUACGGAGGAUGCGAGCGUUAUCCGGAUUUAUUGGGUUUAAAGGGUGCGCAGGCGGCACGGCAAGCCGGCGGUCAAAUCGCGGGGCUCAACCCCGCCCAGCCGUCGGAACUGCCGGGCUAGAGUGGGCGAGAAGUGCGCGGAAUGCGUGGUGUAGCGGUGAAAUGCAUAGAUAUCACGCAGAACUCCGAUUGCGAAGGCAGCGCACCGGCGCCCUACUGACGCUCAGGCACGAAAGCGUGGGUAUCGAACAGGAUUAGAUACCCCCGUAC